CCCUACGGGGCGCAGCAGGGCGAGGUGGGCCAACAGCCGCACGCGAGAGGAUAGCGUCGCGUACGGCCGAGGGUCUCCGGAACGGCACGCCGGACUCUGGACGCUCAGCAUGGGUAUGACGUGCAGAUUUCGCGUGCGGUCGCGCAGGUUCGCUUUAGCAACGGCCGUUCCGUUUGCGGGCACCGUCUUGGGUUUCGGCAUAUGGCUCAUCUGCAAGUCUUUCUACGAUUAUGACCCUUGGCAGAACGCCGUACGCGGAACCAUCAUAGGGCUUAUCGGCCUUGCGAUGCUUGCCGUCCAGCUUCCCAUACUUGGCAGGUGCGUCGAGGUGAAUGCGGAUGGCAUUCGAUGUCACACCUUCGGACGAAUGGUGCGUUCUGUCGCCUGGGAUGAAAUCGUCGGCGUAAGACUCGAGGGAGACACAUGGCGGGGGGGC
rnacentral:rRNA from 1 species